AUUUCAGUUUAGUAGUUCACUGAGGAAAUUAUAUAAAAAUAUAGGACCUCAAAGAUUCACCUAUUUAGUUUUUGUAACUUCUUAUAUGAAAAAAACAAAAGUUUUUUUUACUUUAUUGAAUAUGAAAAAAGCUACAAAUGGCGGAAUUAAUGAGUCAUGGCAUUCUCUACAAGUCAACCACAAGGCCGAACAGAAAAAUGGUGUUUCAUUCAUUUUAUAAAAAAAAAAUAGUUGCAAUAAUUUUAUUAGAAACUAAAUAUUUCACUGUCAAAAACGUAAUGUUCUAGCUUUUCAAGACGGCUUCAACUUGAUUGUGACGUCACAAUCAAGUACCAUUUAGUCAGGGGCGUUUCUCACGUAGAGUACAAUUGUCAGACUUUGACUGUCGUUCCUGACUUUUAGAUUCCUUUAAUGCAAUGAGUCUAAUAUAGAUAUUUGGUCCUCAAAACGACCCUGAGAGCCUACCGUAAAUAAACAAAAAAUUUAAUUUUGCAACGCUAAAAACUAGUGACUAUGGGAUUAGUUGCCAAGCUGACCCCUAGCUCCCAUGAGCCGUAGCAAAAAUGCUGGGAUAACGCGAGGAAGAUGAUGAUGAUGAGAUUUUGUUGGGCAAGAACCUCUCGAGAAAGAGCGAUAUAAAGGCAGAUAAAGAAAUUUAAAUUUUUGUUUUUUUCUGUAGGGGCUCUGAUCGACUACUGAUACUAUUAAUAAAACUAGUCAUCUAGCCUAUAAUGUAGAAUGUGGCAACCCUAUCGCAUCCGGCUGGGAGUGGGUAAGCGGGUUAUGUCACGCGGGAAAGAGGUUACUGCCAAGGUGGAUCACGCGGUACAGGCGACGGGUUUACAUAACGUGUGUACAAAAAAUGUACAGCCAAUUUGAUUAACCGCUAUUGAAGUCACAACUCACAAUUUGAAUAACAACUUUACGUGCGAAGAUUACUGCGAAUAACGACAAAUGAAUAUCUAAUCAAGUUAAAAUUUUGAAGGUUUAGGGGCCGUGCGCGUUGAAGGGUCUGCCAUCUUGUAGCCUGAAUCGGAAACAUAAACUAUACAUUGACACUACACACCAAAGUAAGUGCUGCCCUAUACAGUCCACGUGUACAGUCAGCGUCAAAUACUUUGUAGCAACCUAAGUAGCCAAAUAGUUCGGUACACCAUAUAUUUAGUAUGGUGUACCGAACUAUUUGGCCACUUUGACUGCUACAAAGUAUUUGACGCUGACUGUACAGUCAACCAAUUUGAUUCCUAGGCCACUAUAGAACCAUGCCAUAAUGACUUCUACGACAGUACUUAUUGAGUGAUGCAUGUCAAGUAUAUAGUAGUUAAAGCGACAAGGUUCUAUAGUGGACUAGGAUUCAAAUUGGUUGACUGUACGUUUCCUUGUGCAUUGUAGGUUAUGCCAUCUUGUGGUUACAUUGGAAAUUGGAAGCUUAAACUUGACAUUUACAUAUCACGCCAAUAAACAGGGGGUGCCUGUGCUGCCCCCUACAGUUCAUGCACGUUCCCUAUAAUGUACUUGGAACGAUGCAAUUUUGUUUGCGAUUUCCAACUAUUGCAAAAUAUUUGCAAUUUUAAAUUGCCAAAAUCUGUACGUGUUUAUAACAAAAAAGAUAAUAUAUUUUCGGGAAAUGUGAAGACAUGGAUUCGUAAAUAUUUGGGAAAUGGAAUAUAUAUUGAUUUGGCGUACAUUGGACAACAGUAUUAGCACAAUCAAACAGCAUUGAACUGCACAUAAGUAAUUCCUCAUAUAUUGAAUUUUAAUAAUCAAUUAUUGUAAUACAAUGAAGUUAUCUACGUCCAUUUCAUUCAUAACACUGGUAACAUAUAUAACAGCAGUCCCUCAACCAGACACAAACAUCCAAAUCCAACAUUACGACGGCCCCGUGUACCUCGGCACUCCAGCGCCAAACUGCUGUCCCUUCUGCAAUUCGAUAAUUAAACCCAUAGACGGAAAAGAAUGCGAAACACCAGAAAACUGUCCACAAAUCUAUGGAAACACAUAUGAAAACGAACCUUAUGGUAUAACUAUAUCUUUAGAUGCAAAAGACCCAUGUGAAAAUGACAAAAUAGCGCUUGGAAAGAUCAAUUUGGGAGCAGAAAACUGUAAACCUAUGCUACAUACAUCAAUCCAUAAUAUUCCAGUCAAUUGUAAAAACGAUGGAAAUACUUGGUCACCGUUUGGAACUUCGCCUUGUACGGAAUGUAAACCGUUGUCGAAUUACCUGCCUAUAAACACAGCGUGCCAAAAUACUUGCCAAGUACCGAUACUCACGUACAGUAACAGUGGUACGAGUACCAAUGAGGAACCGGUACUUGUUCCGCAAAAGUUUAUGUACUCGUUGAUACUCGAUGGUGAGGUCGGUACGAAUCAGAAUGGGUGUGAUAGCAGGAUGUAUUAUUAUUGAGUUUGUGUUAAGAAUUCAUUGUCAUUUUUGCUUGUUCAGAGUUUCAUAUUACUUUUAGGAUAUCAUAUGAAGCGUGAAUAAUGUAAUGUUUAUUAAAAUGCCAAACACAGUAA